rnacentral:piRNA from 1 species
UAGCAGUCCAGAUGCAAUCCAUGGAGCAGU